rnacentral:tRNA from 1 species
GAGGUUGUAGCUUAGUGGUAGAGCACAUGCCUCUCAUGCAUGAGCCCCUGGGCUCAAUCCUUAGCACCUCA